GGAGAUGCUGGAUUCCCUGGGUUGCCUGGAUGCAACGGCGUCGACGGCGUCCCUGGAGGUACAGGCAAGCGAGGGGUAAAGGGAGACCCUGGGCCUCCUGGAGAAAAAGGAAACAAGGGGGAACCAGGCGUUGAAGGAAUGAGAGGUCCCAUUGGAAGCCCUGGACCACCAGGAAUGAAGG